GCCAGCAUGGCGUAGCGGUUUAAGUUUUGGGCUACAACUCUAGAGACCAGGGUUCAAUUCCCAUCUUGGCC